GGCCAGCAGCCGCGGUAAGACAGAGGAUGCAAGCGUUAUCCGGAAUGAUUGGGCGUAAAGCGUCUGUAGGUGGUUUACCAAGUCUUCUGUCAAAGAUCAGGGCUUAACUCUGGGCAGGCAGGAGAAACUAUUAGACUAGAGUUCGGUAGGGGCAGAGGGAAUUCCCGGUGGAGCGGUGAAAUGCGUAGAUAUCGGGAGGAACACCAAAGGCGAAAGCACUCUGCUGGGCCGCAACUGACACUGAGAGACGAAAGCGAGGGGAGCAAAUGGGAUUAGAUACCCCAGUAGUCCUCGCUGUAAACGAUGGAUACUAGGUGUUGGGUAGAUUCAAAUCACUCAGUACCGUAGCUAACGCGUGAAGUAUCCCGCCUGGGGAGUAUGCUCGCAAGAGUGAAACUUAAAGGAAUUGGCGGGGGA
rnacentral:rRNA from 1 species